rnacentral:rRNA from 1 species
CUGGCUCAGGAUGAACGCUGGCGGCGUGCCUAAUACAUGCAAGUCGAACGGAGCACUUCGGUGCUUAGUGGCGAACGGGUGAGUAAUAUAUGAACAACCUACCCCCUUGACCGGGAUAACACACUGAAAAGCGUGCUAAUACCGGAUAGGCGAUCGAGAGGCAUCUCUUGAUUAUUAAAGGAGCGCAUGCUCCACAUUGGGAUGGGUUCAUAUCGCAUUAGCUAGUUGGUGAGGUAACGGCCCACCAAGGCGAUGAUGCGUAGCCGAUCUGAGAGGAUGACCGGCCACAUUGGGACUGAGACACGGCCCAGACUCCUACGGGAGGCAGCAGUAGGGAAUUUUCGGCAAUGGGCGCAAGCCUGACCGAGCAACGCCGCGUGAACGAUGAAAGGUCUUAUGGAUUGUAAAGUUCUGUUACGAGGGAAGAACAGCACUGAUAGGAAAUGAUCAGUGUGUGACGGUACCUCGCCAGAAAGCCACGGCUAACUACGUGCCAGCCGCCGC